UUAGGCAUGCAAGUCGCGGGAAUGCCCAGCAAUGGGUGGAACCGGCGUAAGGGGCAGUAAGGCAUGGGUACCUACCCUGGGGUUGGGCAUAGCCCGUAGAGAUACGGGGUAAUUCCCAGCGAUGUCGCAAGACCAAAGCUCAGGCGCCCCGGGAGGGGCCCAUGUGAUAUUAGCUAGUUGGUGGGGUAACGGCUCACCAAGGCGAAGAUGUCUAGCGGGUGUGAGAGCACGACCCGCGCCACUGGCACUGAGACACUGGCCAGACACCUACGGGUGGCUGCAGUCGAGGAUCUUCGGCAAUGGGCGCAAGCCUGACCGAGCGACGCCGCGUGUGCGAUGAAGGCCUUCGGGUUGUAAAGCACUGUCGAGGGGGAGAAAAGCCGAAAGGUUUGAUCUAUCCCUGGAGGAAGCACGGGCUAAGUUCGUGCCAGCAGCCGCGGUAAGACGAACCGUGCGAACGUUGUUCGGAAUCACUGGGCUUAAAGGGCGCGUAGGCGGGCUGCCAAGUCUGGGGUGAAAUCCUCCCGCUCAACGGGAGAACUGCCUCGGAUACUGGCGGUCUCGAGGGAGGUAGGGGCGUGCGGAACUAUGGGUGGAGCGGUGAAAUGCGUUGAUAUCCAUAGGAACUCCGGUGGCGAAGGCGGCACGCUGGACCUUUUCUGACGCUGAGGCGCGAAAGCCAGGGGAGCAAACGGGAUUAGAUACCCCGGUAGUCCUGGCCCUAAACGUUGGGUACUAGGUAGUAGGCUUACAUGGGCUUACUGCCGAAGCUAAAGUGCUUAGUACCCCGCCUGGGGAGUAUGGUCGCAAGGCUGAAACUCAAAGGAAUUGACGGGGGCUCACACAAGCGGUGGAGCAUGUGGCUUAAUUCGAGGCUACGCGAAGAACCUUACCUAGGCUUGACAUGUGCGAAAGCGCAGGGAAGUAGCCCGCGGAAACGUGGGGCGAACGGUAUCCAGUCCGGAACCUUGCACAGGCGCUGCAUGGCUGUCGUCAGCUCGUGUCGUGAGAUGUCGGGUUAAGUCCCAUAACGAGCGAAACCCUUACCCUCAGUUGCCAUUGGGACUCUGGGGGGACUGCCGGUGUCAAACCGGAGGAAGGUGGGGAUGACGUCAAGUCCUCAUGGCCUUUAUGUCUAGGGCUGCACACGUGCUACAAUAGCGUGAACAAAGGGACGCGAACGCGAGAGCGGGAGCAAAUCCCAAAAAACACGCUCCAGUUCAGAUCGCAGGCUGCAACUCGCCUGCGCGAAGUUGGAAUCGCUAGUAAUCGCGGGUCAGCAACACCGCGGUGAAUGUGUUCC
rnacentral:rRNA from 1 species